ACGAUAUAAGAUAAGAAUACAAAUUAUAAGUUCAUAAUAUAAAUUAAUGAAAUCAUUAAAAUCACUUCUUACAAUUGUUUCAGCCUAUGGCUAAAAGUAGAUAAUUUUAUCUUCAUUGCCUAUGUAAAGUGUGUGUUUUAUAUAAAGCGAGAGAGAAAGAGAAGGAGAGAGAGAGAGAGG